GGACGACCUUCCCCAGCUCUGUUCCCUUCUCUGGACACGCUCCAGCACCUUUAUUGUCGUGAUGGGCCCAAAAAUAAGCACGGAAUUGAGAUGCUCCAUCAGUGCCCAGCACAAGACUUUUAGCACCAACAAGGCUGAGUGGAUACUUAAGGAUGACUGAAAAUUCUGCUGAAUCUAUAAAUGUGGUUAGAAUUCAAACACAAAAUUCUAGUACUAAUCCUUUGUGUCAGAAUCAAAUAUGAACCCACACAGACAGCAGAGCACUCAUGUUUGAUUACAAAAUGGAGUCAUAUUGUGAGGAUCAAUGGACUGAUGAGCACAGAGUUCCAGACCACCUCACAGAUAACAAAGCAUUUACAUUCUGUCCCACCCCUACACAACUUACUUGGCUGUGCUGGUGCGGCAUCGCAACUUCCACCUGCCCUAAAUUCUAGUUCAGCGGUAAAAGCCUAAGAGGAGAAAAAAAGUACCCAAGAUAGCAGUUCACAACUGCCAAUUGAUGACCAUUUCCUGGGAAGAAUUAUAUGUCUUGAGCAAGGAGAAAAGAAGACUCCUCCACUGAUCCCUUUCAG